rnacentral:ribozyme from 1 species
AAGAGACAACAACAAUAAUGUGAGAAUUGUACAAUCAUUCAUACGUUGUUGGUGUUUUGUCUUUUUGUUUUGUUUUU